ACCUGGGUGGCUCAGUCAGUUGGGCGACUGACUUCAGCUCAGGUCAUGAUCUCCCGGUUCGUGGGUUCGAGCCCCACAUCAGGCU
rnacentral:tRNA from 1 species